ACCUGGCUGGUUCACUUGGUAGAGCAUGGGACUCUUGAUCUCAGGGUCGUGAGUCUAAACCCCACGUUGGGUG
rnacentral:tRNA from 1 species